UCCUGGCCCAGGAGAGAAGGGCUCACUCAGGGUUGCAUAGAAAGGGGUCAGGUUUGGGAGAUUUCUGGACAGCUGGCUCUCCAACCCUCUGCAUUUUGGGGUCCCUGAACCCUUGCCCUGCAGGAGGAGGGUGAAAGGCCCAGACUGAAUCCAGACCCCCGAUCCUAGCCGGAGGCUGACCUCUAACCCCAGCACAGGACUUGACCGCCACCAAAGCCUACACUGACUUUGCUGUGCGGCCCAGACAAGCCCAGACCCAGUGGCUUCCCGAAUGUCUUGGAGGUGUAUCUGGCUCCGUGUCACCUGUCCCCUUCUGCUCCAGCCCCAAUCAGAUGCCCACCCAUGACGGGUGGGAUAUGAGGGUGAGGCUGGGGUGUGUGGGACUCCUGGCAUAAGAGGUGUCCUCUGGCAGCCAUGCCCAUGCCCGCCUGAGCUGGAGGGCAGUACCCGACAGGUGCCCAGGCUUAAAGGCGAGGUGAUGUGGGACACACCCAGGCCGAUCGCCCACGCACCGUGCUCGGGCCAGCCCUGUGCAUGUGUUCACACGCUGCUGUCCUGGGGCCUGGUGCCAGCUCUGUCUGAGCGCCCAGGGGGGCACCCACUGCCCUCCGCCCUUGCAAGGUGUUCUGAGAGCCCCCUCAAGACCCUAACUGGCGGGCCUUGUCCGUGGGCCUAGUGGGGGCCUAACAUAGCUGCCAGCCUGGCCUGGAGGUGGCACGCGGAGCACAUGCGUGACAGGGUGUGUCCAGGGGUGUCGGGCCUGUCCGUGCUGGCCCAGUCUCCAGGCCUCUGCAGACCCUUGCUCACUGAAAAGAGCCAGCAGAGGUGGAUGCUCCACGGGUCCUCCCAGGGACCCCGUACCAACCCUGCCUGUUGUAAGUGGAGGCCAGAUGCGUGCAAGCCGCAGCUGUGGGGCAGGCCCCCAUCCCAGGGGGUCUCGGGGUAACUGGCCUCGUGGUGCAGUGGGAUGACCAGGUCACCAUGGGCCAGGUGGCGCUUUGAUAGGUCUUAACACACUCUUCAGAGUUCGCCCUUCACCUUGGAGGCUGGGUGGGGUAGAAUAUUCAAGACGAAUAAUCCUGCCAGGAACCCUGGGCCUUCUGAAGAGAACGCCUUCCUGUCCCUCGGUCUGGCCCUUUCCCACGUUGGGUGCGCUUUAUGGCAGGAUCAGGCCAGGCUUUUCCUUAGAUCUACAGGGUGACCUUGGGCUUGCCUCGGAAUGCCUCUGGGCCUCAGUUUCUCUAUCUGUAAGCGAGGAGCAUUGGGAAAAGGAGCGGGGAGAAGUGUGGGCCUGUCCCUGUCCAGGUGCCCACCGUCAAAUCCCUUUGGGGGCGCUCUGGCCACCUUCUCUUCUGUCACCAGGUGUCCUGGCUGGACACGGAGGUGUGUCUGGGGAAGGCUGGUCACCCAGGAAGGACGGACGCAGAGGGCAGCAGGCGUGGGUACCAGCUGAUGGCCCCGCCCAGUGCCUCCCUCCCCCUGUGCCAUGGCCGGCUGGGGUUCCUGGGGAUGGGAUUUGCUGCCUGUCACAAAUCACAUUGCCAGGGAUUUCCAAUCGACCCUGAGCCCAAUCUCCGGGGCCGUCACCAUCACCAGCAUCAGCACUACCGCCACCACCACCACCACUACCAAGGACGCUGCCAGGGGAUGAGGUGGCAGAGAGGCCCUUGCUGCCUGCGUCUGGCCUGGGCAGCAGGGCUUAGCUGCUUGUGAGCAGGGUCUGCACCAAGUCAUGUUCACAGUGGCUAAGUUCCGCCCCCCGGAGCCCUCAUCUCCUCCAGCUCUGCUGCCUCUCCCGGCCUGUUCUGCCGCCCGGCUUCCCUGGGCUCUGCCUCCCGUGCCUACUGAGCUGAAACACAGUUGAUUUGUACAGACUGGCUCAGUUCAGCAGGAACAGGAGUCAAGCCCCCUAGGAGCCUGUGGCCCCUGCCUUCCCUGGAUGGGCUGAUGCCCGGGGGAAGAGAGGAGGACCCAGAUCUACAGUUGUGUCUGGGGAGGGACUUGGGGAGGGUGGGCACGGCACGGGAUGGGGUGGGUGGACUCAGCGCCUGCUCCAGGUCCCCUCCCCCAACUCUGCUCUUGGAGACCCCCACAGUCCUCCCUCCAGCUGGGCUGUGUUCCCAAGGAGGACAGUGGGUGGCCCUUCCAUGAAAAAGGGAAGCCAGCUGUGUCUCCGCCUGGGUGACCCUCUGGGCCUGGAGCCUCGGCCCCUCCUCUCCCAAGCCUGGUGGGGGCACCGGCUGGGCCACACCUUCCCAGCAGCCAGUUACCCAAGAGGAAACUGCCUUGGGCCCUCAGACCGUUAAAUGCCAACUCCAGACUUCCGGAACCAGACUGGUCUGACGCGAACGUGCCUGACCCCUUCCACCUGGGUUCUGCAGCUUCCUGUCUUGAGGGAGGCGCCGUGACACCCACUGGCACACAGGGUGGGAAUGAGGCCCCUGUGGAGGACCAGAAGGACACGAGCAGGCCUGCUCAGUCCUGGGGAGGCCCCAGAGCAUGGAAGAGCAGUGUGAAGCUCCAGGGGGUCAGGCUGGCCCAGGGCGCCCCUUCCCCACCUCUGCCAGGGGCAGACACAGGCUUGGGGCGAUCUGUGCUGUGUGUUGUGUUUAGUGUCCAAUUAAAUAAAACCUGCCCCGCCUUAUUUCUGAA